rnacentral:pre_miRNA from 1 species
AAAAAGACAAACCCUGGUUUCCGUGUCCAACGUUUGACUGUCCGUCUUAUAUGAAAUUUUUUUAUAAUUAGUAUUUUCAUUGUUGUUAGAUGAUAAAACAUGAUUAAUACUUUAUGUGUGACUUAUCUUUUUAAUUUUUUUUAUAAUUUUUUUAAAUAAGACGAACAGUCAAACGUUGAACACGAAAACUC